AUUGAACGCUGGCGGCAGGCCUAACACAUGCAAGUCGAGCGGAGCGGCGGACGGGCGAGUAAUGCCUAGGAAUCUGCCUGGUCGUGGGGGAUAACGUCCGGAAACGGGCGCUAAUACCGCAUACUAUCAGAUGAGCCUAGGUCGGAUUAGCUAGUUGGUGGGGUAAAGGCCUACCAAGCCGACGAUCCGUAACUGGUCUGAGAGGAUGAUCAGUCACACUGGAACUGAGACACGGUCCAGGCUCCUACGGGAGGCAGCAGUGGGGAAUAUUGGACAAUGGGCGAAAGCCUGAUCCAGCCAUGCCGCGUGGGGGAUGAAGGCGUUCGGGUUGUAAACCUCUUUCGCUAUCGAACGGGUAGGUGGAGAAGAAGCGCCGGCUAACUACGUGCCAGCAGCCGCGGUAUUC
rnacentral:rRNA from 1 species